UAGUAGUUUGAUUCGUGGCUCAGGACGACGCUGGCGGCGUGCUUAACACAUGCAAGUCGAACGAUGAAGCCUAGCUUGCUAGGUGGAUUAGUGGCGAACGGGUGAGUAAUACGUGAGUGACCUACCUUUGACCCUGGGAUAAGCCUGGGAAACUGGGUCUAAUACCGGAUACGACCAAUCUCCGCAUGGGGUGUUGGUGGAAAGCGUUAUGGAGUGGUUUUAGAUGGGCUCACGGCCUAUCAGCUUGUUGGUGAGGUAAUGGCUUACCAAGGCGACGACGGGUAGCCGGCCUGAGAGGGUGACCGGCCACACUGGGACUGAGACACGGCCCAGACUCCUACGGGAGGCAGCAGUGGGGAAUAUUGCACAAUGGGCGCAAGCCGGAUGCAGCGACGCCGCGUGAGGGAUGACGGCCUUCGGGUUGUAAACCUCUGUUAGCAUCGAAGAAGCGAAAGUGACGGUAGGUGCAGAGAAAGCGCCGGCUAACUACGUG
rnacentral:rRNA from 1 species